GCCCUCCUAUAAAGCUAAACGGUGCCACCCCUUUGUCGAACUGUCAUUGUGCCAUCUCGGAGAACCACGACACCUGUUCGGUGGCCGCCAUGGGAGCAUGAUUGGGCUGCCGCGUGUGGACUUCGAUUCGCCGUCCUGGAGUUGUGUCCUAGGGCUUCUUCUGGCCUGCGGGUGGGAGGCUGUGGUUGCGCCGUGGAGGAUUUGUCACCUGCGCCAUCCCGAUUGCUCACCGGAGCAGUCCGUGUAACGCAGAUCCGCUGUCUGUCGCAGGCCGGCUUCACCAGGGUGCCCUCGAUGGUAUGAUGUUCCUAACCCUAUUCGGUUUGAUGUCCGCUUUCAGUAGGUCCCUCCGAUGUUGGCGAUUGUACCCUGGGUCUCGGCUAGCCGCUCACCGGCUUGUUCGCCACGCGGUGGCGGGGCGCCGCCGUGCUCUGGCGAGGUAUGGUAGAAGACAAGCUUGCAACCGUAGGUUAUGUGAUGGAUGGUUGUGAUUCAAUGCUUAGAUACCCCUUCGUCGCACUUGAUCUGGGCCGCCGGAUUGGGAUCGAACGUGAUCGGGUCAAGGGUGACUUCUGGCCUUGGAUCUUGGAUCCAGCGAUCAGGAUCGCACCAUGGUUCAUAAUGUGUGUGCGUCUAAUCUGGACGGAUGAAACACGAUCCAAUGGCCCCGAUUGCAUAAUACCCCUUCAGCUGGGCAGGUUUGCAUAAGAGCCCCUGUGCUUAUAUGAAACCAACCCACCGUCCACUGCAAUGUAAAAAGCAUUACAGAUCGGUCCUGUUUUUCAUGAUUUAGACCCUGAGCUCUCUGAUAA
rnacentral:lncRNA from 7 species